GAGCUAUCUGCGCGGAAGCUAGGUUUUUGUUCAUUCGUGAAGAACGAGUCGACCUUCACUUCGCGGUAAGGGUUAGCAUCGGGCCUUAACAUUUAGCAAGAACCAAGGUUCAACAAACAUGCCUUCUCAGUCAUCAGGUUUCUUUUAUGAAAGAAGAGAGUUGAUGGGAAUGGGUGGAGUGGGCAAAAAACAAAUAGGUCUAUUGGGCCAAAAUUUGAGGAGACGGAGGCGACGGAGCAGAUAAGAGCAGAAUACAAGAAAAUCUAUGAAGCAGUCCAGGCAAGGGUAUUGCAUUGCUGGACGAUGUAAUCCUUCAAUAUCAGAGCUCGGCGUUGUCUCAUCGACUAAAUUCUACGGUUUACUUGUCAAAGAUGGACGAUAACAACCUCAUCAAGAAAAUUUGCUUUGACAAGGCCGUCGGCGAAGCAAGCCAUUUUUUUUAUCCCCCAUCUCUUUUCUCUUCCUUCUUUUAUAUAGCGGACUACUUUUUGUAUCCAAUAAUUUUGAUGAAACAAUAUUUAUUUGUACGGAAGCAUUAAUUCUGCACUACACGUUUCCUGGUGAGGGAUUCUACAACGUAUGUAUCACUGAAGAGGAUCAAUUCCACUAAAAAAGAGUUUAUUAAACUGGUAGAAAGCUCAAAGGUGGCUAAGCUUGAAGGAGGCUUGGAAAGUAAAUGGUGAGGGCUAUGAGGAGGAUGAGAAGGGAUUAAUUUCAAAUUUUAAUAGCAGAGAUUGCAAUCAGGGGCGUGACAACACUGAACAGAAGGAAGAGGGUCCGAAGAAAUUUACAUGGCAGUUGAAGAACUGCGUGUGAACAGGGAUAAUGUGGUUCUGUUUCAAAUUUGAUUUCAUUUGUCACAAAUUAAAGUAUUUGAACACACUUUGAGAGGUUAUUUGAAGCACUGCGAAGCAUAUAACAACAUAGGGAUUAACUUAUUUUAGUUACAAUGAGAUUAUUUAAUUUUUUGGGUCAUUAUUAUUAUUUUUUUUCUUUCUUUUGACGUUUUAAUUUUAUUAUUGUUUUGACAUUGUUAUUCAUCGACUUGUUUUUUGCUCUA